CUACGUGCCAGCAGCCGCGGUAAUACGUAGGUCCCGAGCGUUGUCCGGAUUUAUUGGGCGUAAAGCGAGCGCAGGCGGUUAGAUAAGUCUGAAGUUAAAGGCUGUGGCUUAACCAUAGUACGCUUUGGAAACUGUUUAACUUGAGUGCAAGAGGGGAGAGUGGAAUUCCAUGUGUAGCGGUGAAAUGCGUAGAUAUAUGGAGGAACACCGGUGGCGAAGGCGGUUCUCUGGACCUUUCCUGACGCUGAGAAGCGAAAGCGUGGGGAGCGAACAGGCUUAGAUACCCUGGUAGUCCACGCUGUAAACGGUGGGUACUAGGUGUGGGGGACAUUCCACGUUCUCCGUGCCGUAGCUAACGCAUUAAGUACCCCGCCUGGGGAGUACGGCCGCAAGGCUAAAACUCAAAGGAAUUGACGGGGCCCCGCACAAGCGGCGGAGCAUGCGGAUUAAUUCGAUGCAACGCGAAGAACCUUACCUGGGUU
rnacentral:rRNA from 1 species